rnacentral:ncRNA from 1 species
UGCUCGACGGAGCGACAAAGGGUAUGACGGAAUAAACUGCUGUCGCGGCAGUUAACGUGCAAUGCUCAUUGGCAGGACUUACCAAGUCUGGGGGCCGAUGAGGGUUGGCUCAAAGUAGGGUUUUGACUUGAAAACUCAAGCUGUGACCCCAAAACGAUGGAGGUAAAUGAGAAUCCUCCUACCCAUUAA